GACGAACGCUGGCGGCGUGCUUAACACAUGCAAGUCGUACGGUAAGGCCCUUUCGGGGGUACACGAGUGGCGAACGGGUGAGUAACACGUGAGUAACCUGCCCACAACUUUGGGAUAACGCUAGGAAACUGGUGCUAAUACUGGAUAUGUGCUCCUGCUGCAUGGUGGGGGUUGGAAAGCUCCGGCGGUUGUGGAUGGACUCGCGGCCUAUCAGCUUGUUGGUGGGGUAGUGGCCUACCAAGGCGGCGACGGGUAGCCGGCCUGAGAGGGUGACCGGCCACAGUGGGACUGAGAUACGGCCCAGACUCCUACGGGAGGCAGCAGUGGGGAAUAUUGCACAAUGGGCGCAAGCCUGAUGCAGCAACGCCGCGUGCGGGAGGACGGCCUUCGGGUUGGAAACCGCUUUCAGCAGGGACGAAGCUUUUUGUGACGGUACCUGCAGAAGAAGCACCGGCUAACUACGUG
rnacentral:rRNA from 1 species